rnacentral:rRNA from 1 species
CAGCAGCCGCGGGAAUACGUAGGUGGCAAGCGUUGUCCGGAAUUAUUGGGCGUAAAGGGCUCGCAGGCGGUUUCUUAAGUCUGAUGUGAAAGCCCCCGGCUCAACCGGGGAGGGUCAUUGGAAACUGGGAAACUUGAGUGCAGAAGAGGAGAGUGGAAUUCCACGUGUAGCGGUGAAAUGCGUAGAGAUGUGGAGGAACACCAGUGGCGAAGACGACUCUCUGGUCUGUAACUGACGCUGAGGAGCGAAAGCGUGGGGAGCGAACAGGAUUAGAUACCCCCGUAGUCCCUGUCUCUUAUAC